rnacentral:rRNA from 1 species
GACAGAGGCCCCGAGCGUUAGUCGGAAUCACUGGGCUUAAAGGGUGCGUAGGCGGGCGUGUAAGUGCUUUGUGAAAGCCCUGGGCUCAACCCAGGAACCGCAGGGCAUACUGCACGUCUUGAAGUAGCUAGAGGCCGGUGGAACGAUCGGUGGAGCGGUGGAAUGCGUAGAGAUCGAUCGGAACGCCAAGGGUGAAGACAACCGGCUGGGGCUCACUUGACGCUGAGGCACGAAAGCGUGGGGAUCAAACAGG